rnacentral:rRNA from 1 species
GGGGAAUAUUGCACAAUGGGGGAAACCCUGAUGCAGCGACGCCGCGUGAGCGAAGAAGUAUUUCGGUAUGUAAAGCUCUAUCAGCAGGGAAGAAAAUGACGGUACCUGACUAAGAAGCACCGGCUAAAUACGUGCCAGCAGCCGCGGUAAUACGUAUGGUGCAAGCGUUAUCCGGAUUUACUGGGUGUAAAGGGAGCGUAGACGGAUGGGCAAGUCUGAUGUGAAAACCCGGGGCUCAACCCCGGGACUGCAUUGGAAACUGUUCAUCUAGAGUGCUGGAGAGGUAAGUGGAAUUCCUAGUGUAGCGGUGAAAUGCGUAGAUAUUAGGAGGAACACCAGUGGCGAAGGCGGCUUACUGGACAGUAACUGACGUUGAGGCUCGAAAGCGUGGGGAGCAAAC